rnacentral:rRNA from 1 species
CGACCCCAGGUCAGGCGGGGCCACCCGUCGAGUUUAAGCAUAUCAAUAAGCGGAGGAGAAGAAACUUAUGAGGAUUCCCCUAGUAACGGCGAGCGAACUGGGAUGUGCUCAGCAUGGUAAUCGGGCAGCCAUGCUGCCUGAAUUGUAGUCUGCAGAAGCGUCCUCAGCGACGGAUCGGGCUCAAGUCCCCUGGAAAGGGGCGCCAGGGAGGGUGAGAGCCCCGUCCGACCUGAACCCUGUCGCAACACGAGGCGCUGUCGGCGAGUCGGGUUGUUUGGGAAUGCAGCCCUAAUCGGGCGGUAAAUUUCGUCCAAGGCUAAAUACAGGCAAGAGACCGAUAGCGAACAAGUACCGCGAGGGAAAGAUGAAAAGGACUUUGAAAAGAGAGUCAAAGAGUGCUUGAAAUUGUCGGGAGGGAAGCGGAUGGGGGCCGGCGGUGCACCUCGGUUGGAUGUGGAACGGCGGGAAGCUGGUCUACCCGCUCGGCUCGAGGUGCGGACCCGUUGUCGACCUUACCGAUGGCCCGGAACCUGGGUGAUUGAUGUUCGAGGAGAGACCAUCGGCAUGGUUGGCAAUACUUCACACGCCUUCUAGCGGGCCUUUCUUGGGCCCUUGUGUGUUGUUUGAACUGGCCUGCGGGCUCCCAUCGACCCGUCUUGGAACACGGACCAAGGAGUCUGACAUGCGUGCCAANCCAUGGGUAAGGAAGCUCGGAAGGCACAAGGAAGCUGAUGUGCGGGAUCCUCUUUUGGGGUGCACCGCAGACCGACCCAAAACUUUUGUGAAGGGUUCGAGUGAGAGCAUGCCUGUCGGGACCCGAAAGAUGGUGAACUAUGCCUGAGCGGGGCGAAGCCAGAGGAAACUCUGGUGGAGGCCCGCAGCGGUACUGACGUGCAAAUCGUUCGUCUGACUUGGGUAUAGGGGCGAAAGACUAAUCGAACCAUCUAGUAGCUGGUUCCCUCCGAAGUUUCCCUCAGGAUAGC